rnacentral:rRNA from 1 species
GACGAACGCUGGCGGCGUGCCUAAUACAUGCAAGUCGAACGCAGUGGGGACGGUUGAUUAACACGUGGGUGACCUCCCAUCAGAGGGGAUAACACUUGGAUACAGGUGCUAAACCGAUAUUGGUUUAUGGACCCGCGGUGCAUUAGCUAGUUGUUGAGGUAACGGCUCACCAAGGCCACGAUGCAUAGCCGACCUGAGAGGAUGAUCGGCCACACUGGGACUGAGACACGGCCCAGACUCCUACGGGAGGCAGCAGUAGGGAAUAUUGGGCAAUGGGCGAAAGUCUGACCGAGCAACGCCGCGUGAGUGAAGAAGGUUUUCGGGUCGUAAAACUCUGUUGUUAGAGAAGCGGUAUCUAACCAGAAAGCAACGGCUAACUACGUGCCAGCAGCCGCGGUAAUAC